rnacentral:rRNA from 1 species
UACGUAGGGGGCAAGCGUUGUCCGGAUUUACUGGGCGUAAAGAGCGUGUAGGCGGCCAAACAGGUCCGUUGUGAAAACUGGAGGCUCAACCUCCAGACGUCGACGGAAACCGUGUGGCUAGAGUCCGGAAGAGGAGUGUGGAAUUCCUGGUGUAGCGGUGAAAUGCGCAGAUAUCAGGAAGAACACCUAUGGCGAAGGCAGCACUCUGGGACGGUACUGACGCUGAGACGCGAAAGCGUGGGGAGCGAACAGG